rnacentral:rRNA from 1 species
UGGGUCAGCUUGGUCUUGCAUACAUAAACAGUACCGUGGCGGGACGUAUUUGCGGCAAAAAUCUCCGUAAGAAUCGUGGUAGGAAUAGCUGAAAGACAAUACUGACUAGGAUAGCUGGUUUUCUACGAAACAUA